rnacentral:lncRNA from 1 species
GUCAGGCGGCCGCGUCGCACCCGCAGAGAGAGGCCUCAGCGCAGGAGGAUGCGAGGGGCGGCGGGAGGAUGCGGGGGAGGACGGAGAGCGGCGGCGAGAGCCGGGGUGCGAAGACCGCGCUGUCCGAGGCGCGCACGGCGCUGGCGCUCGCACUCUACCUGCUCGCUCUGCGGGCGCUCGUGCAGCUGUCGCUGCAGCGGCUGGUGCUGAGCCGGACCUCGGGGCUCCAGGGCGAGUUCGAUGCGCGCCAAGCCAGGUACGGUCGAUCGGCCGGGCCGCGAGUCCUCCGCGGCCCCAGGCGAGUGAGCCCGGGGUGGGGGAGCGCC